rnacentral:lncRNA from 1 species
UUUUAUAAACAAACAUGUUCAUAUAUACAAUACCAAACUGUUUACAAAAAUAUUGGCUUAACAAAAAGGGAACUGUUCUAUAACCCACUAGUCAUACACGUUCACCAAUUCUGGUUUCUCCACCUUUCCAGACUCCGAGGCUUCAGGUCCUCCACGAUCACCAUCUAAGGACCUGAAAUGGUUAUCCCAUAAUGGGGUGAGACGACGUCUCAGGAAGUUCAACUCUUUAAGCCCCGACUAAGAAGAAAAUACGCCCUGAGGGCUGCCUAAGCACAAACACGAGUCAGAGGACUUACCUUAGCCUCGAUCUCUUCCUGCAAGUCAAGAUAAUUUAAACAUUCAUCGAAUCACAUUAACAAAUAAAACAAUCACACCAGAUCAACUCAUCAAUCAAUUGACCUAGUUGAUUUCAUGUCAUCAGGACCAUCACACGGUCAUUUCAAUUACCCACUCCAACUAUUAAUUACGGCCCAAUAGGCACGGCCUACUAAAUGUUCAACGGUGAAUUACGGCCUUAUGAGCACAGCUUGUCCAAGUUAGGCAGUAGAUUACGGCUCAACGAGCACAGCCAUACUUUGACCGUAAUCAACGAGCAUAGCCAUACUUUGGCAGUUGAUUACGGCUCAACGAGCACAGCCAUACUUUAGCGGUUUUCAUGAUCCAACUCAUAACAUCACGCACAACAUGCGUCAACUCAACUUUUGAUAGUCAUCUUCCUAUAAAUAUAAAUCAUCACACGAUUAAUCACCAACGGCCAAGAACGUGGUAUUCCACACUUAAAUUCCUCGAUUAACACAAUACCUUGGCCUAAUUUCCUCGUGUUAAAUAUACCCGAUAAAAAUAAUCGUGUGUAGGUACACAGUCGGUCUGAGCCAAAAAUAUAAUAUCUUUACUUUCAAAACUUCCACCAUUUAUAUAGUAGAUAAAAACAUUUUCGGCGCUAUAAACCAACGCCUAGUAAUUUCCUAAUUAAAUAUUGAAAAUAAUAAAUUUUGGGAUAAAUACCCUAAAAUUGCCAAUCACACUCAAUUUGCACAAAAUAACAGUUAAUUAAAUAAAUCGAAUACACUAUUGAAUUCAACAUAAAAUUCCGGUCACUAGUUAUCCCGGUCUAAUUUCCGGAAAAUAAAUAAUUAAUUAAAUAAUUACGAAAAUUAAUUAUUAAAUACCAAAAAUGCAUACUUAGGCCCGUAAUGCCUAAUUAAAUGCCAAUUUGGGUUCGGAAAAUUCCCAAACCUUACUAAAUAAAUACUACCACUUAUCUAGUUGCUAAUUACACUAAUCUAACCACCUAACAUGCAAUAACGAUUAAUUAAAUUGCUAAUUUAAUCUAACUAUCCACUUAAUCCAUACUUAGUCUAAACUAAUCAACCCUUAAACUUCAUUAACUUACUAAGAAAGGAUUAGUGAGUUAAACUCACUUGAUUAAUGAUCCGCUCAAAUCAAAACGACGGGGACGCGGUAAGGGUUGAGACACUCCAAAGCGGGACCACCAAACGAGGUCCGGAAGGCACCAAAAAUGGGCCAAAUAGUGGCUGGAAAACCCAAGCUAUUCGGUUCUAGUUGGGGCCGAGAAAGGGUUGACCGAUGGAUCGGCUAAGCUAGGAUCGACCAAGGAGGAGGCAGAUAGCUUGGUGGGGGUGAGUGGUGGUCGAACGGCAGUCCACAGCAAUUCAGGCGGCGAGAGUAGCUUGCAACUAGCUCGAGGGGCGUCCGGGGGUCAUGGUGGAGGCAAAAUGGCGGCCAAGCACACGCAGGGCUGGCGUGCGAGCGGGCAGACGAUGUAUGGGCUCCAAGCGCGAUGGUGGCGAUGCAGUGGCUCAAGUGGGUGGUUGGAUAGCUUGGAGCUGGCUGCUAGUUCUUCUCUGG